UGUUAUUGGUCGGCCAUCUUGCGACUACGUUUCAUUAUUAAAGCUUGUUCAUUCGUUUACGUCGUUCGUCGUGUUUACUGGCGAUGCAUGAAUCAAAACAAUGUGCUCAAGCAAUGCCCAUCAAUACUGUCCAAAAGCUUGACUACCUGCAAAAUAUAAAAAAUGGACAAUCAACAAGUACAUGAGACAACAGAGAAAGGAGUACAAAGUAAUUGGAACUUUCCUUUCCCCGAAUUUCUUACGAAACUUCAAAGUCAAGUUGAUGCUCCAGAACAUCUUAUAAGUGACAUUUAUGCAAAAUAGGUAGAUACUAUGAGGAGGUACGAUCGAUUCUUCAAAUACUAAAUCAAGUCGUUAAGAGUUUGAUUUAAUUAUUGACAGGAUAUCUAGAGUGCAUAUCAUGUGUCUGUGAAAAACCUUUGCACGUUCAGUGGACCUCAGUCGACCGUAGACCUACGAAACUUUGCACUAAUUUGUACAAUUUUGUUAGUCUUUUACGGAUAAAUAGUAUGCACUCGAAGCCAAGACGUUUCAAAUUUAAGCUACUCGUUUA